rnacentral:tRNA from 1 species
AGCAGUGUGGCCUAAUGGAAAGAGCCCAGGCCUGGGAGCCAGAGGAUCUGGGUUCUAAUCUCAGCUUUGCUA